GUUGUAUGGUUAAGUGACUAAGCGUACACGGUGGAUGCCUUGGCAGUUGGA
rnacentral:rRNA from 1 species